rnacentral:rRNA from 1 species
AGCGAACGCUGGCGGUAGGCCUAACACAUGCAAGUCGAACGGCAGCACACUAAGAGCUUGUUCUUACGGGUUGCGAGUGGCGGACGGGUGAGGAAAGCAACGGAAUCUACUUUUUCGUGGGGGAUCACGUAGGGGAACUUACGCUAAUACAUCAUCCGACCUUCGGGUGAAAGCUGGGGAUCUUCGUACCUUGCGCGAUUGAAUGAGCCGAUGUCGGAUUAGCUAGUUGGCGGGGUAAAGGCCCACCAAGGCGACGAUCCGUAGCUGGUCUGAGAGGAUGAUCAGCCACACUGGAACUGAGACACGGUCCAGACUCCUACGGGAGGCAGCAGUGGGGAAUAUUGGACAAUGGGCGCAAGCCUGAUCCAGCCAUACCGCGUGGGUGAAGAAGGCCUUCGGGUUGUAAAGCCCUUUUGUUGGGAAAGAAAAGCAGCAGGUUAAUACCCCGCUGUUCUGACGGUACCCAAAGAAUAAGCACCGGCUAACUUCGUG